rnacentral:ribozyme from 13 species
AAGAAAAAAAAAACAAAUCGAUUUUUUUUUUUUAAAUUUUUUUUUUUUUUUAACACACACACAAAAAAGAAACAAAAAAGAAACAAGAAAAACAAAAAGCCGAAUCUUCUCUCCAUACAAACAAAA